rnacentral:misc_RNA from 1 species
GUCAACUUUCACCCCAGUGUCCUCCUCUUGCAUUUGAACUACUGAAACAGUCUCUGUUCUCAGAUAAGAGUCACCCUUCUCUCCACCAAAUGAGGGCAUCAAUUCAUAUUGAAUUAAGUGACCAGAUGGAGUAUAAGCUAAAAGAUGCUCCAAAGCAUUUAAGCUUUUGGGUGCAGGUUGUUCCCGGCGUACGGAACUGUGAAAAUCAGCAGCAAGAACACCAGAAGGCACAGAAACCUUUCCUGCUGCAGAAGAUGCAG